rnacentral:rRNA from 1 species
ACGGAAGGCAGCAGUGGGGGAUAUUGGACAAUGGGGGAAACCCUGAUCCAGCGACGCCGCGUGAGUGAAGAAGUAUUUCGGUAUGUAAAGCUCUAUCAGCAGGGAAGAAAAAAUCAAAAUUGACUGUACCUGACUAAGAAGCCCCGGCUAACUACGUGCCAGCAGCCGCGGUAAUACGUAGGGGGCAAGCGUUAUCCGGAUUUACUGGGUGUAAAGGGCGUGUAGGCGGAGCUGCAAGUCAGAUGUGAAAUCCAUGGGCUCAACCCAUGAAUUGCAUUUGAAACUGUAGCCCUUGAGUAUCGGAGAGGCAAGCGGAAUUCCUAGUGUAGCGGUGAAAUGCGUAGAUAUUAGGAGGAACACCAGUGGCGAAGGCGGCUUGCUGGACGACAACUGACGCUGAGGCGCGAAAGCGUGGGGAGCAAACAGGAUUAGAUACCCUGGUA